GGGAGGCCCCGCCCCACUGCGGUGGAAUCGGCGGCGGUCGCUGUGGGGAACAGCGCCGGGGGGAGCGAGGCUGGCGGGGCCGUGGGGGUCCAGGAAAAAUAAAGGAUACAGUGCUGAUGAAACUGGAAAGGUUGACAGGUUUCUGCAGCCAGAAAAAAAAAAAAGGAGCAUAUCUUUCUAUGGGAAACAAAAUAUAUGAGGACUAUGGCAAGGAGACAAAAAUGAAAAAGAGGAUGGAACUGAGUAAGCAAAUCUGUAAAGAUAGGUUUGAUGCCUUUAUCAGUGGAGAAUAAAUCACAGCUGUUUGACAUCUCAAGUUUUGUGGGAUGACCAUUGAACCAAAUGAGUUUCCCAAGAAGGUGCAGGAGGAGUUUUCUGAAAUACCUGGUAGAGACCAUGUCCCAUGUUGCAAAUGUAAGUCUCUCUCAGGCAGACCCACUGCCUUCUAGGUGGGAUACACCAGAUGGAUGUGCUCUUUUAUCCCAAUUGUGCCAUAAACCCAUUCUUUAUUGCCCAAAUCCAGGAAAAGAAUUAAAAAGUCAUUCUGUCUAUUGUUCUACUGAGUGACUAGCAAGUAAUUGCAUAGCCCACUCGUGUACGUCACAUCAUGCUCAUCUCUGUCCACAAGGAAAAUCACUUUUAAUCUUUGGCUCUAUCAUUUGGAAAGUGUUCAAACUGAUAAAUUAUAUGGAGCAUUUUGACAGUUUCUUCCUAAUAGAAUUCAGUUUUCCGUAUUUUUGAGAAUUAUUUUCUCAUCUCUGUAAAGUAAAUAAGUCUAUAAAUCCUGGUCUAAAGGAUAACACUAAGAAUCUGGCAGUUAUUAAAUAACACACAGCUAAACUAAAGUAUUCUACCUUUCCCUCAUUUGUCAUGUAUUUUAGUAAUUUGUUUCACCUGUUGGCAAGUUUGAAGGUAAGUAUGUAUAGCAGAUACAAGUAGUAAUUUAUUUGGUAUUUAAGUUUGCAUAGCUGCCUGGGCUGUACGAGUUUGAGUGAUUCAUCAAAGCCUUUUGUCCCCCAGACAGCACAGAUUCUGACCAUUUCAUUGUGAUCCCAGGAUUUUUUUAAAAACCAAGGGGAGACAUGUCUAAUUUUUCCAUUCUUGGCUUAACCUCUGUGUGCUUACAGGCAAGUUGUAUACCCAAAGUCCUCCCUCAUUUUGAACAUUUUAUGGAUUGUGUGCCUUCUGAAAUGUUCAGUUUUUAUCAGGUUCACAUCCUAUUCAUUGCUCAGCAACAUAACCUAUGGAGAAUGAUUGGCAUUCAUACUUAGAAAUGCCUUAUGCUUUCCUACCAGUAUGAAUUAUUGCUUUCAUCUCUGAAUUUACAUACACUGAUGCUUGUGCAGAUUCUAGACACAUUUGGAAGGAAAUGCAUUUCAAGUGAUUGAUAGAACAAAGGUGGUUUCUAGUUCUCAUCAGCCUAUUCUUUAAAAUAUGUCACAUAACUGACUGACUUAGUAUUUUCAUCACUGCAUUUAGUUCAGACUCACCAAAACUGAUUCUGUCAAGGUGGGUUUGUCUUUUCUUUCCAGAGAUCUGUGCUGAAAUUCAAUCUGUUCUGCAUCUUCAAUGUUUUUGGGUUUUUAUAUUCUGAUGCUACUGAUGCCACACUUAGAAGAAAAAAAAAUACUCUAGUUCCUUACAGUUCCCUCUUUGCUUAUAUAGCUGGAAUUUGACUCCACCUCAGAAAUGGGUUUUUAUUCAGUGUUGUAUUGGGUUUGCGUGGCAAGAUUUUGGUAGCGGGGGUGGGGGCUACAGGAGAGGCUUCUUUGAGAAGCUGCCAGAAGCUUCCUCCAUGGCCAAGAGAGCCAAAGCCAGCCAGCUCCAGGACAGACCCACUGCUGG